UCUUGCCUUUUUACUUUCACUUGUGGGGCCCAUCUCACCUUUCACAUUCACCCUACCGGCACGUCUUAUCUUCAAGAAAUGAAAUGAUGCAGUGUUACGGGAAAGGUUAUUAUUUCAGUAAGCCAGUUAAUUGCUGAUGUUGUUGGAAUUGGAGGAACUAGAUUUCAGCAGUCCCUGUCCAUCAUCAAUAAUUGUGCCAAUCACGACAAAAUUAUUAAGCACACUACGUUCCCUUCUGAUGUAAAGGAUUUAACAAAACGUAUUCGUACAGUACUGAUGGCUACAGCUCAGAUGAAGGAGCAUGAGAACGAUCCCGAAAUGCUUGUAGACCUCCAGUACAGUUUGGCAAAGUCUUACGCGAGUACACCUGAGCUAAGGAAGACGUGGUUGGACAGCAUGGCAAGGAUCCAUGUUAAAAAUGGGGAUCUUUCAGAGGCAGCAAUGUGCUAUGUUCAUGUAGCAGCACUGGUUGCAGAAUAUCUCACACGGAAAGGUAUGAUUUUGAAGUCCUACUUAAAUGUGGGUUGGUUGUUUUUUUCAUUAUGUGUGGGAAUAGCAGUGGUUUCCCUGAGGAAGCUGUAGGCAAAAAAUUCUGACUUAAGUGAAUAGCAAGCUUACAGCAGCAUAUUUACAUGUUUAAGAACCAGCAUUUUAGCUGAAGCUAAAGCAGAACUUUUAGGAAGGGAAAAGCUUUUAAUUUAAUGCAACAGUUGCUCAUACCUGGUUAGACCCUUUCUAAGCAACUUUAUCAAUGAAUAUUCUUAUUUGUUAAGUAA